rnacentral:snoRNA from 1 species
CUGUUCGGUUGAGGACACGGUCUGAGCAAGUCUUUAAAUCUUUCCCAAGCUUCACAGAACAGUUCAAAAUCAAAUUGUCUGAAUUGACCAAUUUCACUUCUAAGUUG